GGUGGAUAUGGAGGACCCCCCCCUCCUGCUGACCCCAUAAUCUCCAUGGCUCCCUGCCUGGCUUGUUCUCACUGAGGGGGUUGAACAACUUCCCCUGUUUGGGGAAAUGAGCAGGAUCCAACUCCCACCUGACUGAAUGUGCCUCUUCUGACCCCACAGUCCCCUCCAAAAGUGGGAGCGGUGCCUCCAGCCCAUGGAGCCGGCUCCCCAGCCCAGCUCACCACGGCUUCAGGCCCGGCCCCAACUGAGGAGCCUGGGGAGGGCAUGGGGGCGAGGGAGACUGCAGGGCCGCUCCAGCCAGUAGGCACUGUACCCUGCUGCUGGCAGUUGUCCUCUGGAACCUCUUCCCUGGGAAGCUCCCCCAGACGCACCCCCCCACCCCCGCAAAGGGGAGAUGUGGCCUAGAGCAGCCUUUUGGGGCCCCAGGGCGGGGGCUGCAGCAGAGCCCCUCCACUCCCCUCUGGCUGGACACGGGCCCCUGGACUGCACUGAGGUUGGCAGGCAGAUGGGGAGCUCCUUGAGGUCCCCAACCCUGGAGGGUUCUAGCUGCCACCCACUCAGAGGCUGGUUCAUGAUGGAGCUGGCCAUCCCACAUGACACCCCCCUGCCCGCCCAGCCUCGGCCUGGACUGGUCCUUGUGCUUCCUAUGCCCCUGCCUCUGUCCUCCAGGGACCCAACUCCCAGGCCCCUGUGCCUUUUCGGGGCAGUGAGAGCCUGGGCUUCUGGGAAAGGGGUGCUGAGCCUCUGUCUCCUUGGAAGGACUUCAAGAGGCCCCUCCAAUAAUUACUAGGCCUGGCAGGGGGGUCCCCUUUUUCCUUCUCCACCAGCCACUAGAUAAAACCAUCUACUAACUUCUUUCCUUCUCAGAUGGGGGUGGUGGCCCCAGGGCUUACUUCUUUCCUUCCUGUGGUUCACGACCCUGGACUCCAAGCUUGGUGACUGCUUCUAAAAUCCUACAAACCUCCUUUAACCAAAUCCCACCUGGUCAGAGGGCCUGGUGUUUUGGCCUGGGGCCCCACAGCUCAAAAGCUCCGGGCUUCCGCCAGCCUCUUCCCUGCUGAGAACUUGGUCCUUCCUCCUGAGGCCUGUGCUCCCUCCUCCUUGAGUGGGUAAGAGACCCUGGCGAGAGCCCCUGCUCCUGGAGGUCUAGGUCCCUCCGCAGACCUGUCUGCCUUUCUACAAACCUGGCACCUCCCCAGCGUGGGAUGUGGGAGAGCCAGAGUAGCCCUGACCAGUCUUCUCUGCCACCCCUCAGCUUACCAUUCACUGGCCCUCAGGACACAAAGGAUGCCAGUUUGCAGAGGCCAAGCCUUCCCCAGCCCUGCCUACCCCCACCCUGGUGUCGCCAAGCCCAGCAGGUGGUACAGUCCCCAGCCGCUACCCCUGGCCCCCAACAGUGCCUUCCAGCCCACUGGGCAUCCAGGCCCCCAGCUUCUGGAGGCCCAGCCCUUGCCAGGUGCCCAGCUCAGAACCUCUCCUGGAACUGAUUGCUGCUCCAUCUGGAGGAAGCUCGAACCCGUCUCCUGGUCGUGGUCACCUACAGCAUUUCUCAGGGCUGGUGGGGCGGCCUCUCCCUGCUCAGCUGAUGCCACGUCUGUACACCAGGCUGGCUUUCCAUGCGGCCCCAGCAGGUUCCCUUGUGGCCCCCAGGAUCAUCUCCGUGAUGUGGGCUCUAACCCUUCAGCUGGGCCCACUCUGCAGAGGAGGUGCCUGAGGCUUCUGCAGGACCUCCCCUAGUGCUGGGCUCCCUCCCAGGGAGCCCUCUGGAGCCUGGUGCCUUGGACCUCAGAGGGGCACAGUUCAGUCCCCCUUCCUCUCCCCCGUAGAGUGCUCUAUGGCCACCAAGGCCCCUGACUGCCAGGGGACCCACACCAAGGCCUCGGACCAGCCCAGACCCAUGGCUCCUUUCUUUUGGACUGUUGGACACCUGAGCCUCUGAGCAGAGAGGUGUAGUGACCCCCAGAACAUUCCUUUCAAGCAGAGGACAUUCCUUUAAGUCUACUUGGCACCAAGCUCUGGCUCUUUGGGCAGAGCUGGGCAGCGAGGGUGUCUCUGAGGCCACCCGGGCAGAGGGGCUCAGUCCUGAGGAAGCAGUUCUCACACUCCCGCCAUGUCCCCAUCGGGUAUCCCACCCCAGGACCCAGCUCUCCUCCCACCUUGGCUGCUGGGACCCCCAUCCUAACUCACCCAGGGGUUGUGGAGACCAGCCCAGGAGGCCACAGCCAGCUGGGAGAAGUGCCUGGUGUUUCUGCACCCCUCUUUAUGGUGCCAGGAGUCUGCCCAGAGGAUGGGACUGUCCCUGUCACGGAGGUGGGUCCGAGGAGUCCAGACCCAGUCCUUCCCUUGGGCAGAGCCCCUCUGUUUUCCCAGCUGGCCAGCAAGCUGCUCAACAUCCCAGUGACGGCCAGGCGGCCUGUGUCCCAUCCUGAGGGGAGUCUGGCUCUAGUCCUGGCCUGGAAUUUGGACACCUUUGAGCUGGGGGCCACAGCUGGCAGGUUCUCCCAGCAAGGCCUGCCCGUGGCCAGGGCAGGUACCCUGUUGGAGGCCCCGGACCUCACCCCAAGGCUCCCGUGCUCUUUUCCACUUCAGCCCCUUGCGCAUCACCUCUAUGCUGCUCCUGAUGAAUCGGUCUGUCAGCCUCCUCCAGCUCAGAAGGGAAAUCACACUAACGGUAAGGAGACUAGAACAGCCACCGAGGGGCAUGGGGAAGCCUCCUAAGUGAGUGGGUGGAAAAGAGCCUGAGGCAGGAUGCCUGGGACUUCCUCUCUGUUUAUCCUCCUUUGCCCUUGACCCUGGAAGAAAGCAGCCUUCUCCACACCUCCUAUGGCCCCAGCGUGCCCUGGGCUCUCCCUCCCUGGAAUGUACCAUCCAUCUCUGUGGGGCUGAUGCUUUGUUUGGCCCUAGGGUCUCUGUGAAUGGCAACUAUUCCUCCUUUCCUCAGCAAAGAGGGCCAACUGAGGCAGAGAGGUGGGCCGUUCCCCCAGGCCCAGCUCUUAAAGAUGGGAUUGAGACCCGCACUUCCCAGGGUGGUCCCUCCCCGCAGAGUCCAUGCUUAGAGGCCUCCCUUUCUUCCGCUCAGGCAGGUGCUUGCUGGCCCCCAUACUGGCUUCCUAAAGUCCACUCUUUUUCUAUAAGUCUUCUCAGCUCCAUGGGGUUGAGUGGGCUACUAAGCCUGGAGUCAGGGUCCUGCCCGCCUCUCAAGCCCCUUCCAGUCUGGGGAGGGGCCCCGGCCUCCAUCGCUGAUCAGCCCGCUGGCUGCGUCCUGACAUCACCAGCUCCCCGCAGCCAGGAGUUAGUGUGGGUGAAGAGCCAGGUGGGGGUUGGGGGCAGAUGCUGGCCGCCAGCUCAGACAUCCUGUGCACCGUGCCAGUCAAGAUGCGCCAGUACACAGGCUACUUCACCUGGUGCACAGGCCAGUGUGGUGAGUAAGGGGAUGUGCCCACUGCCACACCAUUGUCCCAGUUCCCUGGCUGACCUUGUGAGGAUGCCUGUCACCUACCCUUCUGACGGCCCUGUGGUCCAGCUCAAACCUUACCCUAGGCCUAGAACCUGUUCCUGAACUGUCACCCCCCACCCCCUUCUGCCCAUUCACUUUAAAGCUUUCCUUGAGGGCUCAUAUUAGGGCUGAGUUUUAGGGGAUGACAUAUGAGGGUCUAGACUAAGACCCCGAUGGCUGUGAUUCCCUCAGGGCAAGGCCUGCAUCUGCAUCUUCACCUUCCAGAACAGCCCAGAACCCUCCCUUUUUGCUUUUGGGCCUGCUGGAGGCUACGGUUGUUUGUCUUCCAAGCAGUAUUGACAUUCCUAUGAUACACAGGGAAGACUGGGGGCCAGCAGGGGUUGCCCAAGGUCAGAGUCUCUGUGGCCAAGCAGAGCUCAGGUCUUGGCCCUGGGUCUUGGCCUCAGGCCUUGGCUCGACAUCUUAACACACUUCCAGUGUUGUGUCCCUCAGGAUAUCCUCAGGUCCUAGGGCCAAAGAAGCUUGGUGAUCUCAGGGUCAGGGCUCCACUCAUAACGAAGGCCAACUGCAGGUGCUACAGAGCAACCCGAAAGCAGGUGAAGCCCUUCUCCCCCUCAUCCUCUGAGCAGGGAGAACACUGUUCCCAGGGGCCAGGACCGAAUUGGGAGGACAAGGCUUGGUAGGCUGUCCACUCCAGGGCUGUGUUCCCAAAGGGAAGGUUCUUGAUACAUCACAGAAGGAAUUCAGAAAUGAGAGAGAAAUUGAGAAAGAAAGGUGAGGAUUUCUUUGAGAAAUACACCCUUUAAAGAGAGGCAGGCAGAGGGGUGAGCAGCUGCCCUGCGUCUCUUUGACCACCAGUUAUAAGGGGCAUCCAGCUGCAUAGGUAGAAAGGGAAGGAAGGGUUUGGGGCUCACAUUUCCUAAGUUUCAUUCCAGCUCCACCUUCCUAAAGGGAGGAGGGAUUUUUGUCUUUAUUUAGCUUUGAUCAGAAGUGUGGUGGCAUCAGUGCAUGGGUAUUUCUUAUCUGCAUAGCUAGUUCUAUUAUAAUUUUAUUGUGAUGAGGGCAUAAUGGACAACAGGUUACAUUCAGACGCUAGAGUUCUGUGCCCUUUCCACCUUUCUUUUUGUGCCUCCAGGGCACUUAUCACCCAAAAAUGUAUGGUUUCCUGUCAGUCUGGAGGUUCCUGCUUUUCUUUGUCUGCCCAUGGACCCCACUGUUUGUAUGAUAUGUGGUUUCCUGCCAUCUGGCCUCAUACCUCCCUUUCUUGGCUCAUACCUAGCUAUCUGCCUGCUGUAACAUUCCCCUGCCCCCAAGGAGUCUGGACCCUUAAAAAUCUUUUAAGAGGAAAAUGGGGAGUUCCCAUUGUGGCUCACCAGUGACAGAGCCAACUAGUAUCCAUGAGGAUGAGGGUUCGGUCCCUGGCCUCGCUCAGUGGGUUAAGGAUCUAGCAUUGCUGUGAGCUGUGGUGUACGUAGGUCAGAGGCUCUUCUUGGAUCUGGUGUUGCUGUGACCAUGGCAUAGGCUGGUGGCUAGAGCUCCAAUUCAGCCCCUAGACUGGGAACGUCCAUGUGCCUUGCAUGCAGCCCUAAAAACCAAAAAAAAAAAAAAAAAAAAAAAAAAAAAAA
rnacentral:lncRNA from 1 species